rnacentral:lncRNA from 1 species
CGCCUGGCUAAUUUUGUUGUAUUUUUUUUUUAGUAGAGACGGGGUUUCAUCGUGUUAGCCAGGAUGGUCUUGAUCUCCUGACCUCGUGAUCUGCCCGCCUCGGCCUCCCAAAGUGCUGGGAUUACAGGCGUGAGCCACCGUGCCCGGCCAAGGGUUUUCCUUGUCUUAUCAGCUGGGCCUGCUUUAGCAAAAUACCCCAAGCUGGGGCGCUUCAGCCACAGACACUGAAUUCUAGCUGCCCAGGAGGCUGGAAGCCAAGCUCAGGGUUCUGGAAGUUCUGUCCCUGGCUCGCAGCCCUUCUCACUGUGUGCCCAGGGGUGCACUUUCGGAGGGUGAUGGGGAGAGAGAGAGAAAAAGAGAGAGAGCAAGCGAGCAAGCAAGCCUCACUCUUCUCCUGAGGACACAGAGAUGGAGAGAGAGACAGAGAGAGAGACUCACUCUUUCUUCUCCUGAGAACACAGGCUUGUGUGGCACCUGUCCCAAAUCCAAAGGCUGAGAACAUGGAGCCGACUUCCAGACGCCAUCCUCCAGGCUGCAGUGCUGAAGCCGACUGCUUGCCAAGCUGGGCCCUCCGUGGCGAGGGGUCCCCCCACAAG